GUGAGGAAUAUUGGUCAAUGGGCGAGAGCCUGAACCAGCCAAGUCGCGUGAAGGAUGAAGGUUUUAUGAAUUGUAAACUUCUUUUGCAGGGGAAUAAAGUACGGUACGUGUACCGUUUUGUAUGUACUCUGCGAAUAAGGAUCGGCUAACUCCGUGCCAGCAGCCGCGGUAAUACGGAGGAUCCAAGCGUUAUCCGGAUUUAUUGGGUUUAAAGGGUGCGCAGGCGGGUUGAUAAGUCAGCGGUGAAAGUUUGCAGCUUAACUGUAAAAUUGCCGUUGAAACUGUCGAUCUUGAGUGCAAAUGAGGUAAGCGGAAUGUGUUGUGUAGCGGUGAAAUGCUUAGAUAUGGCACAGAACACCAAUUGCGAAGGCAGCUCACUAAGGCGAUACUGACGCUGAGGCACGAAAGCGUGGGGAUCGAACAGGAUUAGAUACCCGGGUAGUCC
rnacentral:rRNA from 1 species